AGGCAAGUGUGCAGGAGAUCUACA
rnacentral:siRNA from 1 species